GGACUACCAGGACAUUGCAACAAACCCAGCAGGAGUUCAUCUUGUCUCAGGAAUGGAGGAAUACACAUACAUACAAGCCUAAUGAUUUUGCAGAGCAAAGUCUUACACUGAUUUAUUACCAGGAUACAGAGAGCACUGUUGUUAAUGGAAACAUUUACAAGAAUGAGGGUCACAGGUUUUGGUGCCAUAGCUGAUAAAGAACUUUCCAG
rnacentral:lncRNA from 1 species